rnacentral:rRNA from 1 species
GCCUACGGGGGGCAGCAGUGAGGAAUAUUGGUCAAUGGACGCAAGUCUGAACCAGCCAUGCCGCGUGCAGGAAGACGGCUCUAUGAGUUGUAAACUGCUUUUGUACGAGGGUAAACGCAGAUACGUGUAUCUGUCUGAAAGUAUCGUACGAAUAAGGAUCGGCUAACUCCGUGCCAGCAGCCGCGGUAAUACGGAGGAUUCAAGCGUUAUCCGGAUUUAUUGGGUUUAAAGGGUGCGUAGGCGGACAGUCAAGUCAGCGGUAAAAAUGCGGUGCUCAACGCCGUACAGCCGUUGAAACUGGCAGU